AUUUUAAGUCAUUUUCAUAAAGUUUCUCAUUAUAAUAACUUACAGGCUCCUUUGCUCUCCAUACUCUUCCUCCUGUCUCCUCCUCCACACUCUUCCUCCGUCUCCUCCUCCACACUCUUCCUCCACACUCCUCCAUACUCUUCCUCCAUACUCUUCCUCCUGUCUCCUCCUCCAUACUCUUCCUCCCGUCUCCUCCUUCAUACUCCUCCUUCAUACUCCUCCUCCAUACUCUUCCUCCCGUCUCCUCCUCCAUACUCUUCUUCCUGUCUCUUCCUCCCGUCUCCUCCUCCACACUCUUCCUCCAUACUCCUCCUCCAUACUCCUCCUCCAUACUCUUCCUCCAUACUCUUCCUCUACACUCUUCCUCUACACUCCUCCUCCAUACUCCUCCUCUAUACUCCUCCUCUAUACUCCUCCUCCAUACUCCUCCUCCAUACUCCUCCUCCUGUCUCCUCCUCCUCCAUACUCUUCCCCCUGUCUCCUCCUCCAUACUCCUCCUCCUCCAUACUCUUCCUCCAUACUCCUCCUCCUGUCUCCUCCUCCAUACUCCUCCUCCUGUCUCCUCCUCCUCCAUACUCUUCCUCCAUACUUUUCCUCCAUACUCCUCCUCCUGUCUCCUCCUCCUGUCUCCUCCUCCAUACUCCUCCUCCAUACUCUUCCUCCAUACUCCUCCUCCAUACUCCUCCUCCUGUCUCCUCCUCCAUACUCUUCCUCCUGUCUCCUCCUCCAUACUCCUCCUCCUGUCUCCUCCUCCUCCAUACUCUUCCUCCAUACUCUUCCUCCUGUCUCCUCCUCCAUACUCCUCCUCCUGUCUCCUCCUCCAUACUCUUCCUCCAUACUCCUCCUCCAUACUCUUCCUCCUGUCUCCUCCUCCAUACUCUUCCUCCUGUCUCCUCCUCCAUACUCCUCCUCCUGUCUCCUCCUCCAUACUCUUCCUCCAUACUCCUCCUCCAUACUCUUCCUCCUGUCUCCUCCUCCAUACUCUUCCUCCAUACUCUUCCUCCUGUCUCCUCCUCCAUACUCCUCCUCCAUACUCUUCCUCCAUACUCCUCCUCCUGUCUCCUCCUCCAUACUCUUCCUCCAUACUCCUCCUCCAUACUCUUCCUCCAUACUCCUCCUCCUGUCUCCUCCUCCACACUCUUCCUCCGUCUCCUCCUCCAUACUCUUCCUCCAUACUCCUCCUCCUGUCUCCUCCUCCAUACUCCUCCUCCAUACUCUUCCUCCUGUCUCCUCCUCCAUACUCCUCCUCCUGUCUCCUCCUCCUCCUCUAUACUCCUCCUCCAUACUCUUCCUCCAUACUCCUCCUCCAUACUCUUCCUCCAUACUCCUCCUCCAUACUCCUCCUCCUCCUGUCUCCUCCUCCUCCUCCAUACUCCUCCUCCCCCGGUGGCAGUGGUGAAGGUGUAG
rnacentral:lncRNA from 15 species